UACUCCUACGGGAGGCAGCAGUGGGGAAUCUUAGACAAUGGGCGCAAGCCUGAUCUAGCCAUGCCGCGUGAUCGAUGAAGGCCUUAGGGUUGUAAAGAUCUUUCAGUUGGGAAGAUAAUGACGGUACCAACAGAAGAAGCCCCGGCUAACUCCGUGCCAGCAGCCGCGGUAAU
rnacentral:rRNA from 1 species